GGUUGGUGCAAAAGUAAUUGCAGUUUUUGCCUUUAAACGCAAGGGCAAAACCCACAAUUACUUUUGCACCA
rnacentral:miRNA from 1 species